rnacentral:rRNA from 1 species
CUUUCCAAGGCAGCCCCGCGUAUACGAGGGCUGCAGCGUAUCCGAAUUACUGGGCGUACAGCGCCACGCAGGCGGUCUGUCAAGUCGGAUGUGAAAUCCCCCGGGCUCACCUGGGAACUGCAUUCGAAACUGGCAGGCUAGAGUCUUGUAGAGGGGGGUAGAAUUUCCAGGUGUAGCGGUGAAAUGCGUAGAGAUCUGGAGGAAUACCGGUGGCGAAGGGCGGCCCCCUGGACAAAGACUGACGCUCAGGUGCGAAAGCGUGGGGAGCAAACAGGAUUAGAUACCCUGGUAGUCCACGCCGUAAACGAUGUCGAUUUGGAGGUUGUGCCCUUGAGGCGUGGCUUCCGGAGCUAACGCGUUAAAUCGACCGCCUGGGGAGUACGGCCGCAAGGUUAAAACUCAAAUGAAUUGACGGGGGCCCGCACAAGCGGUGGAGCAUGUGGUUUAAUUCGAUGCAACGCGAAGAACCUUACCUGGUCUUGACAUCCACAGAACUUUCCAGAGAUGGAUUGGUGCCUUCGGGAACUGUGAGACAGGUGCUGCAUGGCUGUCGUCAGCUCGUGUUGUGAAAUGUUGGGUUAAGUCCCGCAACGAGCGCAACCCUUAUCCUUUGUUGCCAGCGGUUAGGCCGGGAACUCAAAGGAGACUGCCAGUGAUAAACUGGAGGAAGGUGGGGAUGACGUCAAGUCAUCAUGGCCCUUACGACCAGGGCUACACACGUGCUACAAUGGCAUAUACAAAGAGAAGCGACCUCGCGAGAGCAAGCGGACCUCAUAAAGUAUGUCGUAGUCCGGAUUGGAGUCUGCAACUCGACUCCAUGAAGUCGGAAUCGCUAGUAAUCGUAGAUCAGAAUGCUACGGUGAAUACGUUCCCGGGCCUUGUACACACCGCCCGUCACACCAUGGGAGUGGGUUGCAAAAGAAGUAGGUAGCUUAACCUUCGGAGGGCGCUUACCACUUUG